AUGCUGCAUUAACAUCCCUUCAGAAUUGCUUGCUGUGAAGGGCAUGAAGAAAUGAAGGAAAUCAAGAGAGAAACGUUCAAAAAAUAUGCUUCUGGAAAUUAGAAAUGUUAGCAACGUACUGAUGGUCACAGAUUACAUUAUAAUCUCCAUUUAAUUUUGAUUGUAAAUCCCAAAGACAUGUUAAAUGCAAUAAUAAAAACACAAAUAUCCAGUUAAUGUGGCUCAUAAGCCAUUCUGAUGGCAACCAUAAUGUGGAAAGUUAGAAAGGGCUCUAGUUUAGGCUGGCUUCCUGUCAUCUUAAAUCCUGCUGCUAGGUACCACCACUGACUAGUAGACAGACAGAGAUUCUCAUAGUACCAUUCAAGUCUUGCUACCAGCUCAUAAUGAAAGCACUCAAAUAUCUACAUUCAUUUUCCAAGAAACAUGAAUUGAUCACAUUCAGCAUGCCAAAUUUCCAUUUUCUCUUGCAGCUUCAGCUGACUGACUUCUUCAUCUAAGUGCUGUUCUUUUCUUUUUGUCGCCUUUUAGUUUAUGAUCAAAAUCAAUGAGGACUGAAGCUUUCCACAGCCAUCUAUAAAAUGCAAUUACUGUAUACAACACACAGUAAAACUCCUGUGGUGUAUAUGUUGAGACAUAAUUUAUGCCACUUACCUCCAGAGAGGUAUCGAUCUUUUUCUGUGAAUGUUUUACAAAAGGGUCUCUUGAGUGCAAGUGCAAGAAAAUAUGUGGCUAUUGGCGCUGAUCUAUAAUUUGAUUAAUAAUGACCAGUCUCUUGAACUUGACUCCUCACUGCACUUUCAUUGUGAUCUGACCUUAGAAUUUUAGCUUUUUUUUUCUUUUGCCGUUCUUUUCAGAGGCAUAGUUACUGCUACGUUUUGACAUGCUAAUCUUGGUACUUGCCUUAUCCAUAAUGUAGCUCUCAUCAAGUUGGGAAGCUUUAUAGGGGAUGCAGGCUAAAUUUGGAAUCCGAAUAUCUUAGUGUGUCUUCUGACUCAGGCCCUUAAUGGUGUGAGCAUACUCCUUAUCUCCCUCUCAUUCUCCUCGUGGCUCAGUGGAAACGAAUCCUCGACUAGGAACUUUGAGGUUGUAGGUUCGAACCUUGGCCUCACUCAGUGGGUUAAGGGUCUGGCAUUGCCGUGAGCUGUGGUGUAGGUUGCAGAUGUGGCUCAGAUCUGGCGUUGCUGUGGCUCUGGUGUAGGCAGGCGGCUACAGCUCUCAUUCGACCCCUGGCCUGGGAACCUCCAUAUGCCAUGGGUGCGGGCCUAAAAAGCAAAGCAAAGAAACAUUUGUCCAUCAGGCAUUUUGACAGGCAUUGUAGGACACGUUGCUAAAUAAGACGGAUGUGAUUCCUGCCUUCAUGGAGCUUACAUGAGCCUCUGGUAUGUAAUUAAACUCCAUACACAUAUGGAAGGUUGACACCAUCAUCAUGACUAUCAUAUUGUUGUGUUGUCGUGCCUGAGAAUGGAGAGCAAAAUCAUGCUGAUGCUGUUCCUGACGGUCUGUCCCAUUGGUGGAGGUUGUAGUUAGAGCUAAUGGCGUGGAAAUUGUUCUGACACUGCACAAUGAGUCUUCUUAAUGCUCCAAAGCUUAGCAUUUACUAGUUUAUCCCCUUAAGUUUGGCUGGAAGCCCUAUUUAUUGACUAUUUCUCUUGUAGCCAGAGUGUUCUAAGUGAAAGAGACAGAAAGAAAAAGAAGGAAAGGCCUUUUCUUUGUACUCCUCUAUCGUGUAAUCUAUCAGAGUCAAUGAGCAUAGGAAGUUCAUUUUCAAAGAAUAAACCUAUGUUUCAUCCAUGAUCACUCAGGAUCUUAUCUUGGGAUACUAUGUAAUAGAUAAUAUGCCAUCUCAACUGUCUCUUUGAGGCAGGACAAAUCCGUUAUUAAGAGGUUGUGCCCUUUGUACUAGAAGAUUCUAGUCCUUACCAAGGUUACGUUAUGGGAUUUUAUGUCUCCUAGCUAAUGUGGGGAUGAUGGUUAGCUCUUAGGAAUAAUGUCUCCUUCUGGGACUUCUGUAACAGCCAUGGAAGGAAGUGUGCUUUAAAUUACUUGCAAUUUUAGUCCUGUAGCUGUGGCUGUUUCAACACUGUUGAAUGAAGUUAGAGUUCACACCUGGCACUUUGCUGAUAUAAAAGGUGGUGGGGGUAAGUAAAUGAUAAGUGAUCACACUACCUUGUGCUUUGACUUUGCUUACUGCCUUUUUCAGAACUUCAUAUUCUCCUGGAAUAUUUGUGCUACGUGAAAAAAGAACAUUUUGUUUUAAUAGAAUGAAGGAUCAGCUCAGGCUAAUUUACCUGGAAUCUGGAGAGUAGUAUAAACUUCAGUGUUAUAUGAAUACAAUAUAUUUUUCUACCUUGACCUGGAGUUAGUGUCCACUUUUGGGAUUAGAGGAAAAUUAAUUGCCUAUUUUCAGCUCACUGAGUUCAGCAACAUAAUAAAAUGCUCAUAUAUAUGCAAUCAGAAAGAUUAUAUGGGCAAGGAAACUUCCCAAUGAAGUCAAGGUCUACUUCUUGACUUAGGAACAAGAGUCUGGGAGAAGCCACUUCUAGUCAGAUCUUCAUGUGUGCGUGAAAGCAAAUUCUUUCUUUUAAAUUGAGAGAAUUUUCUGCAUGUUUGAAGUAACAAGGAUGACAUGGGGGGUGGGUAUUGCUGAGUAAUAUCAAUAGGCAUUUAAUGCUAAUUUUGUUGGCUUAAAUAAGAGCGAGAAUCCAAAAGCAAAAUGAAAGAUAUCAUAAGGAGUAACUAGUGAAUUUUAAAUUCUUUUUUUCUAUGAGGAAGAGGUAUACCUACAUAGCCUAGAUUUUUUACUGUCUCUGAUAUUGGAGGCCCUUACUGAGAAUCAGGUGGUCAGUAAGCUCAUAGGAGGUAUGUAUUGGCACACUUUGUUUUCUAAUUACUUUUUUUUUUUUUAUGGCUGCAUGCACUUCUGGCAUAUGGGAAGUUCCGGGGCUAGGGGUCGAAUUGGAGAUGUAGCUGGCUUCAGGCUUAUGCCACAGCAACAAAAAUCCAAGCUGCAUUUUGGGACUUCCCAUUGUGGCGCAGCCAAAACGAAUCCGACUAGGAACCAUGAGGUUGCAUGUUCAAUCCCUGGCCUUGCUCAGUAGGUUAAGUAUCCGGCAUUGCUGUGAGCUGUGGUGUAGGUCACAGAUGCGGCUUGGAUCCUGUGUUGCUGUGGCUGUGGUGUAAGCCAGUAGCUGUAGCUCUGAUUCAACCCCUGGCCUGGGAACCCCCAUAUGCUGCAGGUGCAGCCCUC
rnacentral:lncRNA from 1 species